UUUAUGGAGAGUUUGAUCCUGGCUCAGGACGAACGCUGGCGGCGUGCCUAAUACAUGCAAGUCGAGCGGACC
rnacentral:rRNA from 1 species